GCCUCAGAGAUUAGCAUGUAAAAACACUUUUAAUACCCUGCUUUUACAGCAACAUUUUUAAACAGGUUACAGAAAUAACCUUGUUGGGCCAAGCCAGCAAAGUACAAGAAUACGUGCCACCCCUGUGCUCAGAAACAACUGCAAAUACAAUAUAUAGCAGUCAAACACAAAUAAGUACAUUCAAACUCUAUCUUUGUGCUACAGCCCUUGCAGUAACAUCACAUGGAGGCUGCAGACUAGUGAAAGGACUGAAGAAGCCACACACUCAAGUGAUGAUCCCUCACUUAGGCCAUGUGAGGACUCUUAUUUUUCCCCCUUUCACAAGUCUUGAUGCUUAGCAGCUGUGGGAGGGACAGCCAGGCCCUUGGGAUUUAUUGCUCUGGCAUGAACAUGGUUUUGCCCUGAAUUUUUGCUUCACCCCUACAGCAGCACUCCCUGAGCGGGAGCAGGCUAUGCUCCUCAGGAAUUAAAACACAAUUGAUACUGACUGCUCAUUGCCGGUAAUCUGAGAAAAGUGGAGGUGUGACCUCUGUUUAAUUAUUUAGGUCAGAAACAAGCAAUUGGUGUGCAUGAUGAAGGAAGCUCAGCUGGCUGUGGGCACAGGCAUUGUCUCUCAUGGAGAGCAGCCACCUGUGUAUCUAGCAGAGAGGGCCUCCACCUUUCUUCCCCAGCCUAUAACUGAUAGGGGUCUCUCUUCCCACCCCAGCCCAUCUUUAUUUCAUAGUUUUCCUGCAGCAGGCAUGAAAGCUGUAGCAAUCUGGCCCUGGGGAGGAGCUUUGUCAACACUCAAAUGGAAAAAUCUGAAAAGUAAUCCACUUUCAAGGAAGUGAAAAUAGACACCUGUCUGACUAUCAAGCUUUUUAAAAGACAUCAAGGCAGUUGAGAUGCAUUUGACAAUCCCGUGCAGUGUGCAUUCCCUCCAGAGAAGAACACGGAGCAGUAGCUGCCACUGGGACUUGAGAUCACCUGAAAUAGCACCCAGGCCAUGAGCAGUGUGACGGUGUCUGCUGGAGAGAAGCAGGUAAAUGACAGUCUUAAAAAUGAAUUCAGUUCCCAAGACAAACCAACAUAAGGUUUUAGGCUGUCGGUGAAGUCUGUUAAUAUAAAACUAAAGUUCAUGUUGGUUUGUCUAACCCCGGAUUAGGCAGGUCCUUCAGAAUGCCUGUGGUUGUUGCACCAUCAGCAAGGGCUGUGCUCCCUCCUUCUGCAAAGCCCGUGCCCUUUCCCAUUGUAACAGUGGGACCUCUGAGGUGCCAAACCCCCGUCACCUGCCCUUGAGUUAGUCCCAGAGCAGGACGGCUCAAUUAUUAACCCAAAGCUCAAGUCUUUGAAUAGAGCCAUUCAUAGGCUGGGAAAAUCAGCUGACUCCAUCCUCAGGCUGGUAAAGACUAAUGAAAUUGUUUCAGAGCACACACAAAAUCUGGCUGUCCACAGUAAGAAAUCAUCUAACUCUACACAUUUAGCCCUCUGCAUCUGUAUCGGGUAAGUUGUUUUUUAGUAGUUUUUCGUUAUAAAUAGCAACCUCAGGAGUUGUUGUAAUCUGCAUUGCUGAUUAAAAAGCAUUA
rnacentral:lncRNA from 1 species